UACAGAGGAUGCAAGCGUUAUCCGGAAUGAUUGGGCGUAAAGCGUCUGUAGGUGGCUUUUUAAGUCCGCCGUCAAAUCCCAGGGCUCAACUCUGGACAGGCGGUGGAAACUACCAAGCUGGAGUGCGGUAGGGGCAGAGGGAAUUUACGGUGUAGCGGUGAAAUGCGUAGAUAUCGUAAGGAAGACCAGUGGCGAAGGCGGGUCUCUGGACAGUUCCUGACGCUGAGGCACGAAGGUCAGGGGAGCAAACGGG
rnacentral:rRNA from 1 species